AGAUGAGGAACUUGAGAUUCAAGAAGAGGAAGAAUUGCCCAAAUAACUUGUUCUUUGUGGCUAGAAAAUGCUUACAUGGAACUCACCAGGCCACAUUCAUAUUACUAUGUUUGUGAUCAUCCAAACAUAAAACCAGUUCCUAGGC
ensembl:lncRNA novel transcript